AUCCAUCUGACGAGUCCCAAAUAAGGCGAAACGCGUGUCAUAGAU
rnacentral:hammerhead_ribozyme from 1 species